rnacentral:rRNA from 1 species
CCCUUCGAUGUUCUGGGCUGCACGCGCACUACAAUGGCAACGACAGAAAGUAGUAAUGUAAAUGUGGUUACAUCGAGAGAUGUGACGAAUCAUAAAUCGUUGUCGUGAUUGGGAUUGAGCGUUGUAAUAUUUGCUCAUGAAAGAGGAAUUCCUCGUAAGCGCGAGUCACCAACUCGUGUUGAAUACGUCUCUGCCCUUUGUACACACCGCCCGUCGCUCCUACCGAUCGAAGAGUUAGGUGAAUUGUUUUGAUCGAUAAGAUUUGACUAUGGUCAACUCUCGUUGUGAAAUUCUGUGAAUCUGACUGUUUAGAGGAAGGAAAAGUCGUAACA